GAUGAACGCUGGCGGCGUGCUUAACACAUGCAAGUCGAACGAUGAAGCCCAGCUUGCUGGGUGGAUUAGUGGCGAACGGGUGAGUAACACGUGAGUAACCUGCCCUUAACUCUGGGAUAAGCCUGGGAAACUGGGUCUAAUACCGGAUAGGAGCGUCCACCGCAUGGUGGGUGUUGGAAAGAUUUAUCGGUUUUGGAUGGACUCGCGGCCUAUCAGCUUGUUGGUGAGGUAAUGGCUCACCAAGGCGACGACGGGUAGCCGGCCUGAGAGGGUGACCGGCCACACUGGGACUGAGAGACGGCCCAGACUCCUACGGGAGGCAGCAGUGGGGAAUAUUGCACAAUGGGCGCAAGCCUGAUGCAGCGACGCCGCGUGAGGGAUGACGGCCUUCGGGUUGUAAACCGCUUUCAGUAGGGAAGAAGCGAAAGUGACGGUACCUGCAGAAGAAGCACCGGCUAACUACGUG
rnacentral:rRNA from 1 species